AUGAACGCUGGCGGCGUGCUUAACACAUGCAAGUCGAGCGAAGCGCUUAAGUUUGAUUCUUCGGAUGAAGACUUUUGUGACUGAGCGGCGGACGGGUGAGUAACGCGUGGGUAACCUGCCUCAUACAGGGGGGAUAACAGUUAGAAAUGACUGCUAAUACCGCAUAAGACCACGGUACCGCAUGGUACAGUGGUAAAAACUCCGGUGGUAUGAGAUGGACCCGCGUCUGAUUAGGUAGUUGGUGGGGUAACGGCCUACCAAGCCGACGAUCAGUAGCCGACCUGAGAGGGUGACCGGCCACAUUGGGACUGAGACACGGCCCAGACUCCUACGGGAGGCAGCAGUGGGGAAUAUUGCACAAUGGAGGAAACUCUGAUGCAGCGACGCCGCGUGAAGGAUGAAGUAUUUCGGUAUGUAAACUUCUAUCAGCAGGGAAGAAAAUGACGGUACCUGACUAAGAAGCCCCGGCUAACUACGUGCCAGCAGCCGCGGUAAUACGUAGGGGGCAAGCGUUAUCCGGAUUUACUGGGUGUAAAGGGAGCGUAGACGGCACGGCAAGCCAGAUGUGAAAGCCCGGGGCUCAACCCCGGGACUGCAUUUGGAACUGCUGAGCUAGAGUGUCGGAGAGGCAAGUGGAAUUCCUAGUGUAGCGGUGAAAUGCGUAGAUAUUAGGAGGAACACCAGUGGCGAAGGCGGCUUGCUGGACGAUGACUGACGUUGAGGCUCGAAAGCGUGGGGAGCAAACAGGAUUAGAUACCCUGGUAGUCCACACGGUAAACGAUGAAUACUCGCUGUUUGCGAUAUACUGCAAGCGGCCAAGCGAAAGCGUUAAGUAUUCCACCUGGGGAGUACGCCGGCAACGGUGAAACUCAAAGGAAUUGACGGGGGCCCGCACAAGCAGUGGAGUAUGUGGUUUAAUUCGAAGCAACGCGAAGAACCUUACCAGGGCUUGACAUAUAGAGGAAUAUAUAAGAGAUUAUAUAGCUCUUCGGAGUCUCUAUACAGGUGGUGCAUGGUUGUCGUCAGCUCGUGUCGUGAGAUGUUGGGUUAAGUCCCGCAACGAGCGCAACCCCUAUCUUCAGUAGCCAGCAGGUUAAGCUGGGCACUCUGGAGAGACUGCCAGGGAUAACCUGGAGGAAGGUGGGGAUGACGUCAAAUCAUCAUGCCCCUUAUGACCAGGGCUACACACGUGCUACAAUGGCGUAAACAAAGAGAAGCGAACUCGCGAGGGUAAGCAAAUCUCAAAAAUAACGUCUCAGUUCGGAUUGUAGUCUGCAACUCGACUACAUGAAGCUGGAAUCGCUAGUAAUCGCAGAUCAGAAUGCUGCGGUGAAUACGUUCCCGGGUCUUGUACACACCGCCCGUCACACCAUGGGAGUCAGUAACGCCCGAAGUCAGUGACCUAACCGUAAGGAGGGAGCUGCCGAAGGUGGGACCGAUAACUGGGGUG
rnacentral:rRNA from 1 species